rnacentral:rRNA from 1 species
UACGUAGGUGGCGAGCGUUGUCCGGAUUUACUGGGCGUAAAGAGCGCGCAGGCGGCUGGUCAAGUCCGAUGUGAAAGCUCCCGGCUUAACUGGGAAAUUGCAUCGGAAACUGAUCGGCUGGAAGGUGGGAGAGGGUAGCGGAAUUCCCGGUGUAGAGGUGAAAUUCGUAGAUAUCAGGUGGAACACCAGUGGCGAAGGCGGCUUUCUGGACGGUAACUGACGCUGAGACGCGAAAGCGUGGGGAGCAAACAGG